GGGGAGCGAACAGGAUUAGAUACCCUGGUAGUCCACGCCGUAAACGGUGGGCACUAGUUGUGGGGACCUUCCACGGUCUCUGCGACGCAGCUAACGCAUUAAGUGCCCCGCCUGGGGAGUACGAUCGCAAGAUUAAAACUCAAAGGAAUUGACGGGGCCCCGCACAAGCAGCGGAGCAUGCGGCUUAAUUCGACGCAACGCGAAGAACCUUACCAAGGCUUGACAUAUACAGGAAUAUGGCAGAGAUGUCAUAGCCGAAAGGUCUGUAUACAGGUGGUGCAUGGUUGUCGUCAGCUCGUGUCGUGAGAUGUUGGGUUAAGUCCCGCAACGAGCGCAACCCUCGUUCUGUGUUGCCAGCAUUUAGUUGGGGACUCACAGGAGACUGCCGGGGUUAACUCGGAGGAAGGUGGGGAUGACGUCAAAUCAUCAUGCCCCUUAUGUCUUGGGCUGCACGCAUGCUACAAUGGCUGGUACAAACGGCUGCAAUACCGCAAGGUGGAGCGAAUCCGAGAAAGCCAGUUUCAGUUCGGAUUGGGGUCUGCAACUCGACCCCAUGAAGUCGGAGUUGCUAGUAAUCGUAGAUCAGCAACGCUACGGUGAAUACGUUCCCGGGGCUUGUACACACCGCCCGUCACGUCA
rnacentral:rRNA from 1 species